rnacentral:rRNA from 1 species
AACCCGGUGAUCUAGCCAUGGGCAGGUUGAAGGUUGGGUAACACUAACUGGAGGACCGAACCGACUAAUGUUGAAAAAUUAGCGGAUGACUUGUGGCUGGGGGUGAAAGGCCAAUCAAACCGGGAGAUAGCUGGUUCUCCCCGAAAGCUAUUUAGGUAGCGCCUCGUGAACUCAUCUUCGGGGGUAGAGCACUGUUUCGACUAGGGGGUCAUCCCGACUUACCAACUCGAUGCAAACUACGAAUACCGAAGAAUGUUAUCACGGGAGACACACGGCGGGUGCUAACGUUCGUCGUGAAGAGGGAAACAACCCAGACCGCCAGCUAAGGUCCCAAAGUCAUAGUUAAGUGGGAAACGAAGUGGGAAGGCUCAGACAGCCAGGAUGUUGGCUUAGAAGCAGCCAUCAUUUAAAGAAAGCGUAAUAGCUCACUGGUCGAGUCGGCCUGCGCGGAAGAUGUAACGGGGCUAAACUAUGCACCGAAGCUGCGGCAGCGAUAUGUAAAUAUUGUUGGGUAGGGGAGCGUUCUGUAAGCCUGUGAAGGUGUACUGUGAGGUAUGCUGGAGGUAUCAGAAGUGCGAAUGCUGACAUAAGUAACGAUAAUGCGGGUGAAAAACCCGCACGCCGGAAGACCAAGGGUUCCUGUCCAACGUUAAUCGGGGCAGGGUGAGUCGACCCCUAAGGCGAGGCAGAAAUGCGUAGUCGAUGGGAAACGGGUUAAUAUUCCCGUACUGGUGAUAAUUGCGAUGGGGGGACGGAGAAGGCUAGGCUAUCCGGGCGACGGUUGUCCCGGUUUAAGGAUGUAGGCAGGUGAA